rnacentral:lncRNA from 1 species
UUUUUGAAUCAUUUAUGUGUCUAUGCAUUAAGCAAUAUCUUGGUAUAAUUGAGAAAGAAAAAAAGAUAAAACUGAAAAUCAGAAAAUUAGAAAGAAAAAAAAUACAUGCAAAGAUUUAACCGUAAGAAACCCCAACAUUCCCAGCAUUCGAAUGAUUAUAAAAAUCAAAUUUGAUAACAUUGUACCUUUUUUUUUUUUUUUUUUUACGUAAAAGGGAAUUCAUUUCAUAACAAACCAAAACAUAGUAGGUGAAGAAGGCUUCUAAAAGGAUACGGAGAAUCGUCACUUAGCAACUGCUUCCCAAUCAUCUUUUGGAAAAGAAACAGUUGUCAUUGAAAUCAUCAGAAAUUAUCAAACCCUUUCAUAGCAUCAAAUUGUACAGAAAUAUAAAUAUUAAAAACCAGAACUCAAACUUAAAAGCCAAAGUUAAAAUUAGUAAAUAAAUUUAAAAAAAAACCCACAUGGUACACGUUCUGGGAUUAAUCUAAAGAAAAUACAAUUUCCAAUAUCCAAAAAUAUAAAUAUCUAAACCAGAACCCAAACUUAUUGUGAUUGUGUGUGCACAUAUGGGUUAAAUUAGAUUGAGAGAGAGAGUACGAUAAAAAAUAAACAAUCAUUAGAAUAAAAACUCAGCAUAUUAUAAAAGUUACUAACCCAGAAAGUCGUUAGAUCCAGGGUCCAACUCCUUGUCCUGUAAUUCCAGCAUAUAAACAACAAAAUAUAAAAUCAGAAACCCCCUGUUGACUGAAUGAAAAUAGAAGAGCAACAUCCUUGUCCUGUUAAAGGAUGUGUUAAACGGAUAUCUUUCCAGGACAUGAUCACAUGCAAAAUAUAAAUACAAAAUAUAGUGUGUUAAAUAGAAGAGCAACAUCCAUAGUCUUCUUCCUGUCAUUAUGUUUACUAACUCAUACCGUGUACAAAAACUAAUCGCUUAAGAUAUGACUUGAAAAAAAUUCACACGCCUAUUUAAACACAUAAAGCAUCAAACUUUACUCAAUCUGAAAUUUAUAUCGUAUACGCUUGUUAUUACUGAUUAACCAUUGAAAGAAAAUCUUUGAGUUAAGCAGAUACCAUUGUCUUCUUCCACUUCUUUAAAACAACCAAAAACCCAUGUCAAUAUGGAUUUGGGAAAAAAGAAAUUUCAAAAUCUAAUCAUCAAAAUUUUUUACUUCCUAUGUUCUUGGGGAUCAUCACAAUUUUUCUUGUCCUGAAUUUGUUUUCUAAUUUGAUUUUUAAUUUAGUUGUGAACCGAAUAAUCUAAUCGUGUCUCAUGAUUAUGUGAAUAUUAAUAAAUUUAGUCGUCUUAGCUCUGCAAAUUCCACCUCCAAAUCCUUUCUGACCCUUUUUCCCAAAAGCUCUCUCACCAAUUUGAAAACAUUCACAUAAUCAUGAGACAUCACUCCAACUCAUUUCAUAAACCCAAAAGAAAAUCUAAAAUGAAACUAUGAUUUCCACCACAAAGAAGUUGGAAUUCUUGUCACCACCCUGUCUUCACUGCCCAGAAAUUGGAAGAAUCCAAUCUUGGACCCAUAUUGUCACACUAAAUAGCAAAAAAAAUUCUAAAGUUUUAAGAAAUUGGGAACCAAAAUUUCAUAUUUAGCCAAAACAAAGAAAAAUAUCUAAAACCUAGAUUUGAAAACAUAGAAAUAAACAUAUAUGCCACUAGCCAUUUCAGUGGCUUCUGGUUCUAUGAAGUUAUUUAUUUGACUGAUGGAGGGUAUACGAAACCAAGCGUAAAAUAAAUGCAACAUGUUCAGAAAAUAACCCAGAUGAAAACCCAAAAAAUCAGAAGAAAGAAUACCAAAAAAAUACCAAUUUGUGAUCAGCCAAUUGUUUAACUCAAGCAUCUGAUUCCUCUGUGUUUAAGGUGAGUGCUUUUGUAUAUCAAAAUUAAAUUUCAAUCCAAACUCAAAUUCCAAAACAAUCAGAGCAUACAAACUUAAUAACCCAAAAAGUUAAUGAAACCAAACCUAUUUCAAUUCCAAUAUAAUCCAGAACACCAAAUUCGCUUACCUUCGGUCAAGCGGGUUUUGGAAAACGUUGCGGAGACUGGUGGUGCAGGAAGAUUCACACAUUUGUUGUGGUGCCCUUCGUGCAUAUAUAAUCCAUGUUUCCCUCUUUUUUCAUCUGGUCUAUCAGAUAAACGUGAGUACUAAAUGAGUGCAUUUAAACCAAAAAGUGUUGACAGAGGCAUAAUUGGAGAAAGAAAAGGUCUUUAUAUCAAUAAAAAUCAAAAGAUGCUUCAUAAUUGGACAUAGAAAUAAGUCUCUCCGAACCCUCAGUUGAGAACUUUGUUAUCUGACUAUUAUAUCAUCUAUAAGCUUAAUCUGCUAUGUGAAUCAUUUCCGGUGUCUUCUAAGUUUCAAAAAACUCUGUGAUGAGGAAUACUUAUGGACUGUAUGACUGUGGCUGUCUUUAUUUCAAUGUCUAUAAAGAUAUCAUGUUUUUACCUAGAUUUCACAUGUAAAUUAUUUGCUGUGAAGGGUAUAACAAAUAAAUAUGAAUUUUUUUUAUGGUGAUGCACUCGUAAUGUUUGUGCACCUUCGUGAGUUCAGAGUGCAUCACCACCCUCCCCCAUAUGACCCACUGCCAAACCCACCCAAACACCAUCUUGGUAACCUAGCCCUGAUGCUACAUACCCAAUCCCCCCUCUGCUAACCCCCUCGCCCCUCUCCAGAUUUCGCGGUCCUGUUAAGCCACCCCUGACAGAGGCAUUCUCAGCAAGUAAAAAAACAGAGGCAUUCCCAAAUAGAAGAUACAAUAUACAAUAAAAGGAAAAUAACAACUGGGGAGAAAAAAUAAAAAAAUUGUAAACCUCAGUACCAACAUAGAAUGCAUACAAAUCAAGCAUAAUCAUUUACAACUUAGAACAAAAGAGACUAACUUAUGCAACACAGCCAAAAACACACCAAAAAAAGGAAACAACAUUCUCCAAAUACAAAAUCCUCAAAGGAAGAUACCAUUCUCUGUCCGUGAAGCAUCAAUAAUCUGAAAACCCAGUUCGAUUUUUCAUUGCUCGGAUGGAGAAAAUUGAGGAAUGAAAGAACAAAUUAGGGUUAGCACUAAAGUUGAGAGAUGGAGAGUUGGGAGAAAGGAAGAGUCUGAAAGAGAGUGAAAGAGAAAGGAUUAGAGAGAGGUUGAGUGUGACAGAGAUGAGGGGAAAACACGGGAUGGGAUUACCAAUCCCUGAAAUCACUCUCCCUACCCCAAAUCCCUGAAAUCACUCAUCUGAACGUGCAACAGAGCAUGGUCCCAUCGACCCCAUUCCGGUUCCGAAACAAAGUUAAUGAAAGUUCCCCUCUAACCAAUGAUCGUUCAAUCACCGACACCAACAAUUGAUUUGAGGAGAGAAAAUCAACCCUAACCCCUUUUUGGCAGCCUCACUCCUCCCUCUCCCUUCCCCUCCCUGCCAUCCCACGCCUCUCUCCCCGAAAUCCGUCGACAAAUCCUCCCAUAUAUCUCAAUCUCAGCCUAAUCCGUGAGUUUUGGCUGAAGCACAGCCACACCAAAUUUAGAUCAAACCCUAAUUUCCAGAAUAAUGAUAAAAAUCGACAAAAAAUAUAUACAAUUGGCACGUUACCAUUGAUUCAAGUUCUGGUAAGGAGUGCGGCGGCGAGGUAAGGCGAGGUGUGCGGCGGCGAGGUAAGGCGAGGUGUGCGACGACGAGGGGAAGGCGAGGUGUGCGACGGUGAGGCGCCGAAUCGACUUUGUCGUUGAAGAGCUCUGGAGCAACAUGGGUUUGUCGUCGAAGAGAUCUCUAGAACAAAAGUCGGGUUUGCUUUCUACGAUGCUCGACAAGUGCACGCUGAAGGGUGGUAAUUUCGUAAAUAAAUCGAAAUUUUCAAUCUGAAACUGAAGAGGCGGUGGCAAUCUUGUAAAUAAACUGAAAUCAGGUACAAUGAACAGUAAAGAACAGUGCCAAUUCCAAUGCUUUCUUUAGACUAAAGUAAUAAUAUGCGUUGUUGCACAUUGAUAGGAACGUUCUUCUUUUUGCGCGGUAGAUUUUGUGUUACUUCUGUAGCUUAAGAAACAUACUAAUUUGUAUUGCUAUACAGCAGAAGCAACAUAAGUGAAUGAUUCCUAUAAUCUUUUCAAGUUCUUUGAAAAGAAAUCUGGUGCCAAACAAAAGAAGAUGCAAUGGGAGCCUCCAGUGCACCAAGGCGGCUUUCUGGGAUGCAGAAGCAAGUACUAAGUCUAUACAGAGGUUUUCUGAGGGCAGCCCGCACAAAAUUUGCGCAAGACUGGCAGCAGAUUGAGUCACUUGUAUCAAAUGAGUUCCGCCCCAAUACGAAGGAAGAAGACCACAAAAACUUCCUCUACAUUGAGUACUUGCUGUGACGUGGUAAGAAACUGCUUGAUCAGCUCAGGAGCCCCAAUAUUGUUGGAUUAUCAGCCUCGAAUGUCUCUCAAACAAAGCAUCCUACACACUGAAGUAAGAAUUCAUCUAUUCUUAUUUAUUUGUCGUACAAAAUGUAUGUUGAUCCAUUUUAUAAACAGAGUAAUUGAAAGAAAUAUUUGGCCAAAUUUUCUCGAGGUUUUCAAAUUUUCGGAAUAAAUUUUUGCCAAUCAAUUGAAAUAUUAUAAACAUACGGUGAUCUGUGAUAAUAUGAUUUUGCAAUGAAUUGUGUCGUUUAUUACAAUGGAAGGUGAGAGUGGAUAUGAGAGCUUGAAGAGAGUGGCUUUGAUAGUGUGAAGAAAAGAAUAUAAGUUUUUUUUAAUAAUGAAUCUUAUGUGGGGCCUAAAUACUCAUUUUGGAUAAGUACAUAAGUAAUUUAAUAUUAAAUUUUUAUGUGAAUGCGGAGUGCCUAAUUUAUUACCAAUUAUUGGUCUAGUAUAACAUAUCAUACAACUUUGUUGGUAAAUGUCAUAUUCUGGUAUAACUAAUUGGAUAGUAAACAAACUAGGGUUGUUGAUACAAAGAAUAUUGAAAGUCUUCUAAUCACUAGUAAGCAUAAGUAAUUGAAGCAUAGAAAUUUAGUAAUCAAAACCGUUCAAUUCCUUCAAAUUCAUUAAGAUCAUCCCUACAAUUACUAAUUUGAAUCAAAGUUCAUUUUGUCAUCCGAAUUAUGGAUAGUUAAUCAUGAAUAUGUUACUUGCUACCUACACCGUUGAUUUAUUUGAUGAACUUGGAUGACUAAAUGAACUCCGAUUCAAAUUAGUUUUUGUAGGUUUGAACUUCAAAUGAAACUUAAGAAAUUGAAUGGUUUUGAUUACUAAAUUUCUAUGGUGAAGAUACGUUAUUUGCAAGUAGAGGAAUGAGCUCAUUACUAAAGGGGGAUUGCAAGCACAAUCCUUGUAUAAUAUGGAAGAGUGGACUUUGACUUGUAUAUCAUCACAGCGCAGAUAGUAGACUUUGACAUAUAUAUCAUGACAGCACAAAUAGUGCAUUCCCACAUUGACUUAUUCUUCCAAGAUAGCCUUACAAUUACUUAACCAACAUUGACUAAUGGAACAAUUUCUAAUCACGUUCUACUGCACUGGAUUCCCGCACAACCAGUUGGAAUCCUCACUUUUGAAUAUUUUGGCUCAUCGUUCAAACUUCUCUAUUUUGUUAUUUGAUUUCCACUCAAAUCAGUCACCAGGAAUAUGCUUUUCCAACUUUCUGUAAAUACUGAUUCAUUUAAUUUUCAUAUAUGAAUUUGUAAGUGAUUAUGCAGUUUGAAUCAAAGGCAAAUAUGGCUUUACCCACAGCAGACCUCUUGAUUGGAAAAAUUGUGACCAUUUUUGAGAACGAGGCAUCAUCCGUAGCCAGUGUUCGUGAUGAAAUUGAUGACAUUAAACAGGAGCUUGUGAGCAUGAGGGCCUUCCUACAUGAUGCUGACCGAAAGAAGGCGCAGGCCGAAGGAGAGGCGACGUGGGUUGCAAGCGUCAGAGACUUGGCCUAUGAUGUUGAAGACAUCAUUGAUGAGUUCAUGUAUCACAUGUAUGAGCAAGGAAGUCGUGAGGGUCGAUUUACAAGGUGGUUCCACCAAACCAUAUACAUUCCGAAGAACGUGGUUUAGACGCAAAAUAAGCAGCAAGUUAAAGAACAUCUCAAGACUGAUUAAAGCCAUUCCGGAGAGGAAUCAGAGAUUUGGUGUUGGUGGAUUACAAGGGACUAGUAGUAGCACUUGUGAUGAUGCUUGCAGAUGGGUGCAGAAUCGAGCAGAGUCUUCACUUUUUAUUAUGGAAGAUGAGCUCUUAGGGAUUGACAGCAAGAAGCAAGAACUGAUGGAUUGGUUGGUGAAUGGAGAUCAAGAGCACAUGGUUGUCUCUGUAGUCGGGAUGGGCGGAUCAGGGAAGACAACUCUAGUUGCUAAGGCCUUCAACGAUGAAAGAGUGAAGAGACAUUUCAAUUGUUGUGCGUGGAUUACUGUUUCGAAAACAUAUGUGAUUGAAGACUUGUUUAGAAGCUUGAUCAAGGAAUUCCACCAAGGAAGGAUGGAAGAGGUACCUGCAGACAUCAAUUCCAUGACCUAUAGAGAAUUGCUACAAGUUCUAAUCAACUACUUGGAGUCUAAAAGAUUUGUAGUUGUGUUGGAUGAUGUGUGGGAUAAAAAACUUUGGGAAGAAAUAAAGACAUCUCUUCAAAAUAGACGGCUUGGAAGUCGAAUUAUUCUUACUACUCGAAACGAAGACGUUGCAUCCUAUUCUUAUGGAGUACAAAGUCAUAUUCACCGCAUUAAACCCCUAAAAGGCUUGGGAGCUAUUCAGCAGCAAAGCAUUCUCACCUUUCCAGAAUAAAUGUUGUCCAUCACAGCUUGAGUCAUUGGCUUGGGAUCUUGUAGAGAAGUGUGAAGGCCUACCGCUUGCGCUCGUGGCUUUAGGUGAUCUGAUGUCUUCCAAGAAUUCAUCGGAAUGGAUCAAAGUUUACAACAGCUUAAACUGGCAUCUAACUAACCAUCCAUUACUAGAGCCAGUGGAGAGCAUUUUGUUGCUUAGUUUUGAUGAUUUACCAUACCGGUUGAAACAUUGUUUUCUAUACUGUUCCCUUUUCCCAGAAGAUUAUUUGAUCCGAAGAAAAAGGCUCAUUAGGUUGUGGAUAGCAGAAGGGUUGUUGAACAUGUCAAAGGGAUCACACUAGAAGAAGUUGCAGAGGGCUAUCUUAUGGAGCUCAUUUUCCGUGGCAUGCUGCAUGUCGUUUGGAGGAAUGAAACUGGAAGGCCAAAGGCAUGUAAGAUGCAUGACCUUAUGCGGGAGCUUGCUCUUUCUAUAUCAGAAAGAGAAAAAUUUUGUGUUGUAUAUGAUGGAAGAGAAGUAAUGGAGGAAGUUCGAGCACGCCGCUUGUCAACUCAAACCACUGAAGGAAAAAUUAAAUUUUGCACUGGUAUGUCACAACUUCGUUCUUUUCUUGUGUUUGUUACUGACACGGCCUCAUUGUCAUUCUCAAAUACAUUGCCUUCUGGAUUCAAAUUGUUGAGGGUUCUAGAUUUGGAAUAUGUCCCAAUUGAUAUACUGCCAAAAGAAGUUGUGUACUUGUUCAACCUAAGAUAUUUGAAUUUAAGGGCAACUCCAAUUAAAAAGCUCCCAGAAUCCAUAGGAAAGCUCCACAACCUUCAAACUUUGGAUAUCCGGAACACAAAGAUAGAGGCACUUCCAAGUGGAAUUUCAAAGUUGAAAAACUUGUGCCAUCUAAUCAUGUACCGUUACACUAGAGAGCAUAAGGGCUUCAGAUACGUCAAUGGGACAAGAGCACCAGCAAACAUAUGUACGUUCAAGAAAUUGCAAGUCUUAACAUGUGUUGAAUUAGAAGGAAACAUUGUUAGACUCGUGGGAAAUAUGACUCAACUUACCAGGAUUGGGAUUACCAAUGUAAAAGAAAGAGACGAGAAGGACCUGUGUGCCUCAAUUCAAAAGAUGAAGCUCCUUCACUACUUGUUUUUAAUGGCAAGUGAUGAAGAAGAAGCUCUUCAAGUAAAUGCCCUACGGUCACCUCCUCCCUACCUUCGAAUGGUUAUUUUGGUCGGCAGACUAAAAAAGGUACCACAGUGGUUUUUCUCACUUCAGAGCGUCACAUAUAUGUAUCUACAUUGGUCUAGACCUGAGGAAGAUUUACUACCUUACAUUGAAGAAUUGCCCAAUCUCGGAAAGCUUACACUUAUGAAUGCAUAUGUUGGCAAAGAGUUGUGUUUCAGAAGCGGCUUUGAAAAGCUUACUCAUUUGCAAUUGUUUAUCUUCCCCUUGUUGAAUAUGAUAACAAUAGCAAAAGGGGUGAUGCCAAAUCUCCAAUCCUUGUCCCUUGAUGACUGCACAGAAUUAAACACAUUGCCAGAAGGUCUUCAAUACCUUACUAAACUAGAAACAUUGAGACUGGAGCUUGUACCAGAGCAACUUGUAGAUUCUAUAUGAAAAGGAGGGGUGGAUCAUGGAAAGGUACAACACAUCCCUGAGAUCAUUAUUCCAGACGUUUCAUGAAAGCUACUCAUAGUUCUUUGUCGAGGAGGUACAUAAGGUUUUUUUUCUUCUCUCCAUUUUUAUUUCUUUUCCCCUUUUGUUUCUCAAGUUCCAUAUUAUUGUUCUCAUUCACAAGUUUGGAAGGGCCAUGUGGUUUUGUCCAUGAACUAAGUUUGAAGUCCUUAGUAGUUAGUUCCAAUCGAGAAAUAUUUGUACUGAAACUUUAUUUGAUUGGCAUUUUGGUUUUUUCAUGUCUUUUACCUUGCAGAGUCUAUCUGGGAAGGAAACGCUUUUACCCAGUUGCACCAGGACGAACACUUUCUUGUGUGAGGCUUCGUAAUCUUAAUUGUUUUCCACCGCUAUCACAAGUUUUAUAUGAAGGCAUUGUUAUCACUUAUCAUUAGUGAGUUCUGUGUGGACCAUGGAAUUUUAUUUAAUUUCCCAAGUACUAUUUUCAUUUGGUUGUGUAUCAAAUUGCUUCAGCCACUGCUGUCCUUGUACAAUGCUGUUCAUCUUCUGCUGGUAUGGAAGACUCUUCAACCUUAAUUGCAGAAUAUUUGUAAUUUUAUUGCAAAAAAAUAUAUGUACGUACUUAGACAUUUUUAGUAUAAGGGGGAACUAUUGUCUCAUCAGUCAUCACUAUGGAUAGUUUUGUUAGAUUUCACCUAAGUUUUUUGCCCACAUAAACUCUUUCGAAUCCCAAAACAUUUCAAUCUGUAUUUGUUCAAGUCGACGAACUUCAGAUUACAUAAAUUUAUAUUUUGUUUUAAACUGCCUCGAGAGACUACUAAACACUACUUUAGACGACAACAUUCAUUUGUUAAGAAAAUGGAUGCAGACCAUGAAUAUGAAUUUGCUUCAUAAUUUUGUAAAACCACCCUUUCUAAUUAACUUGACUCUGUUCUAGUAAUUAUAACAGAUGAAAGAUGCAACAUGAUCGCUAAUCGGUACCUCUUUCUUGCCCGAUAGCGUAAGAAAGCAAGACAUACUUAGUAUAAGGUGGCUUCAAUUACAAAAAAAUAUAUAUCUCAGGAUCUCAUGAAAUUGGGUUGGUUAUCAUUGUCCACUUUGUAGUGAGUUUUGUUCUGGCCACCAUUGUGUGAUUCACCAGUGUCAGGAAUCAAACCCAGAACGUGCCAUGUGGAAUACGCGUCUAUAAUGCGUCCCAACCACUCGGCCACCCCGUGGUGUUUUGAGGAUGGUCGUUGACAUGGGGCUCACUACUUAAGCGAUUUCUCGUUUGAUUGAGGGCGAUAUCAUGUUGCCUUAUUUCUUUUACCUGGUUAUACUGAACAUAGCUAACAACAACAAUAACAAAGCCUUUUCCCACUAAGUGGGGUCGGCUAUAUGAAUCCGCGAACUCCAUUGCACUCAGUUAUGUGUCAUGUCCUCCGUUAGAUCCAAGUACUCUAAGUCUUUUCUUAGAGUCUCUUCCAAAGUCUUCCUAGGUCUUCCUCUACCCCUUAAGUCAUAGACCUCUGUCCCGUAGUCGCAUCUUCUAACCGAAGCAUCAAUAGGCCUUCAUUGCACAUGUCUAAACCACAGUAACUGGUUUUCUCUCAUCUUUCCUUCAAUUUCGGCCACUCAUACUUUACCUCGGAUAUCCUCAUUCAUAAUCUUAUGCUUUCUCGUGUGCCCACACAUCUAACAAAGCAUCAUCAGCUCCGCUACACCCAUUUUAUGUACGUGUUGAUGCUUCACCGCCCAACAUUCCAUGCCAUGCAGCAUCGCAGACUUUAUUGCCGUCCUAUAAAAUUUUCCCUUGAGCUUCAGUGGCAUACGACGAUCACACAACACGCCGAAUGCACUCUUCCACUUCAUCUUAAGCUUGUAUUCUAUGGUUGAGGUCUCCAUCUAAUUCUCCGUUCCUUUGCAAGAUAGAUCCUAGGUAGCGAAAGCGGUCAAUCUUUGGUACUUCCUGGUCUCCAAUCCUCACCCCUAACUCAUUUGAGCCUCCAUUUGCACUGAACUUGCAUUCCAUAUAUUCUAUCUUUGAUCGACUUAGGCAAAGACCUUUAGAUUCCAACACUUCGCUCCAAAAGUUAAGCUUCACAUUUACCCCUUCCUGAGUUUCAUCUAUACACCAAGGAAUAUGAUCUUGAAUAUGUCCUGUUAACUCAUCCAUUACCAAUGCAAAAAGGUAAGGACUUUAAGAUGAGUCUUGAUGUAACCCUACAGUUAUGGGGAAGCUUUCGGUUUGUCCUUCAUGAGUUUUUACGGCAAUCUUUGCUCCAUCAUACAUAUCCUUUAUAACUUGGAUAUAUGCUACUCGUACUCCUUUCUUCGCUACAAUCCUUCAAAGAAUGUCUCUUGGGACCUUAUCAUAUGCUUUUUCCAAAUCUAUUAAGACCAUGUGUAAAUCCUCUUUCAUAUCUCUAUAUAUUUCCAUCAAUCUUCGUAAGAGAUAGAUUGCCUCCAUGGUUGAGCGCCCUGGCAUGAACCCGAAUUGGUUGUCCGAGACUCGUGUCUCUUGCCUCAAUCUAUGCUCAAUAACUCUCUCAUAGAGAUUCAUUGUAUGACUCAUUAACUUAAUACCCAUAUAGUUCUUACAAUUUUGUACGUUACCCUUAUUCUUGUAGAUAGGCACCAAAGUGCUAUUUCGCAUUCAUUUGGCAUCUUCUUCAUUUUCAAAAUCCUAUUGAAAAUGUCUGUGAACCAUGCUAUACCCGUCUCUCUAAGACUUUCCACACUUCGAUCGGUAUAUCAUCUAGGCCCAUUGCUUUUCUAUGCUUCAUCUUUUUUAAAGCUAAAACCACUUCUUUCUUCCUAAUUCAUUAGUAAAAGGAGUAGUUUCUAUACUCUUCUGAGUUACUCAACUCCCCCAAAGAAGUACUCAUUUCAUGUCAUUCAUUGAAAAGAUUAUGAAAAUAACCUCUCCAUCUGUCUUUGACCGUGUUCUUUGUAGCAAGAACCUUUCCAUUCUUGUUCUUGAUGCACCUCACUUGGUUUAGGUCCCUUGUCUUCUUUCCCCUUGCUCUAGUUAGUUUAUAGAUAUCCAAUUCUCUUUCUUUGGUAUCUAGUCGCUUAUACAUAUCGUCACAAGCCGCUAGUUUAGCUUCUUUCACAGCUUUCUUCGCCUCCUGCUUCGCUAUUCCAUACCUUUCAUCGCUUUCAUCGGUCCUAUCCUUGUAUAAGACUUUACAACAUUCCUUCUUAGCCUUAACCUUUGUUUGUACCACCUCAUUCCACCACCAAGAUUCCUUUUGGUGUGGAGCAAAGCCCUUGGACUCUCCUAAUACCUCUUUUGCUACUUUUCUGAUACAACUAGCCAUGGAAUCCCACAUUUGGCUAGCUUCCCCCUCUCUAUCCCACACACAUUGGGUGAUUACUUUCUCUUUGAAAAUGACCUGUUUUUUCUCCUUUUAGAUUCCACCAUCUAGUCCUUGGGCACUUCAAGGUCUUGUUCUUUUUUUCUCUCUCUUUUGAUAUAUACAUCCAUCACCAAUAAGCAAUGUUGAUUAGCCAAGCUCUCUCCCAGUAUAACUUUGAAAUCCUUACAAGUUAUACGAUCCCCCCUUCCUCAUUAGAAGAAAAUCUAUUUGUAUUUUUUAUGACCCACUCUUGUAGGUGAUCACAUGUUCUUCUCUCUUCUUAAAGAAGGUGUUGGCUAAGAAGAGAUCAUAUGCCAUUGCAAAAUCCAAGAUGGCUUCCCCAUCCUCAUUUCUCUCCCCAAAACCAUGGCCACCAUGAAAACCUCCAUAGUUGCCUAUCUCCUUGCCCACGUGUCCAUUUAAAUCUCCUCAUAUAAAUACCAUCUCCAUCUGAGCAAUUCCUUGCACCAAGUCUCCAAGAUCUUCCCAAAAUUUCUCCUUCAAACUCGUAUCCAACCCUACUUGAGGUGAAUACGCACUAAUCACAUUGAUGAGUUCUUGUCCUAUCACAAUCUUGAUUGCCAUAAUUCUAUCUCCUAGCCUCUUGACAUCUACAACAUCUUGUGUCAAGGUCUUGUCCACAAUGAUGCCAACACCGUUUCUCAUUCUAUUUGUGCUCGAAUACCAAAGUUUAAAACCUGAGUUUUCUAGAUCCUUUACCUUAAGAGCAACCCACUUAGUUUGUUGUAGGCACAUAAUACUUAUCCUUCUCCUCACCAUAACUUCCACUACUUCCAUAGAUUUUCCCGUUAAGGUUCCAAUAUUCCACGUUCCUAAACACAUUCUACUCUCUUGAACUCUACCCUCAUGUCCUAGCUUCUUCACCCUCCCCCGUCUAAUAAGAUCAAAGUACUUCUUUUGUGUGUCCUGUGUAAAGUUGAUAGGAGCAUAUGCUUCCAAAUAACUUUGAGUGGAGUUGUUCAAAAAGAAGUUUCUAUGGCCCCCUUGCUCAUUUAACACUACAUUCGGGCGCCGAUGGACAUACAGUGAUCCUUGCUCACUUAUCACUGUGCUUGGGCCGCACAGCGCACCACUUACGAGUGGCGCCCUAGCUUUAACGCGAUUUCGUUUUGGAUUCAUUUUCACAAGGAUUCAACAUAACCUAGGAGUGCCAGCUGUCGACUACUUGACGCCCUCCCCCAUCUCCUUGAUCCGGGCUUGGGGCCAGCAAUGUAAGAUAAACUUACACUGGCGGAGUUACUGAACAUAUCUAACCAGCUACAAAAAUGAUCUAAAUGUUAAUUCUCUUUUGUUUUCUGUUUUACUGGUCAAUAUUGUAUAUGUUAUUUCUCAGUUUUACAUGAGAUAUGAAUAUUACAAGCCAGUAAAGAACCAUCUGUUUUCCAAAUUCAGUAAAUGAAAAUUAUAAACAAGUUAAUAAUGUUUAACUCAUAAAGAUGUAUUUACUGGAGAAAAUCAUGGCAGCACCAUGCACGGUAAGUUUAAGUGAGUACUAAUAAGUCCUUUUAAGAGGACAGUAAUUUGAGAUUACUCAAGUGUUACACGAAAGAAGUAGAAAGAUCAAAAUUAUUUGAAGUGAUACAUAUAUUGGGCAUUAAGGAAUGCCAAAUUUGAAAUAAAAGAAGCUCUAUAUAUAGAUCUUACUGUCCCAAAACUUCUGAUUGCUAAUGCAUCCUAUCCAAUAAUAAAUCUACUCUGUGAUCUUUACUUUACAAUGGACUGUAUCAGCGCAGACUAAUUACGUCAAAAACAAAUCUACAAGGAUAUAUAAUUUUGUUCAUAGUUAAGCAGCUCAUCGAACCAGCAUGUAACUAAUUUCAAAGCUCUGCAUGCUUCCCUCCGAUUAGUGCAUUGCCGUGGAUUGCAUAUUUGUCGAAGAUUAGAGAUAGAAUCAAAACUAAAGUAGUUCAAAUAUUACUGUAGUGACCAGUGGCUAGACCGUUCCAUCUGAUGAAGGGACGUUUCUACGAGCUUCCAAAGCAUUGGAAGAAGAUUUCUUUGCCGUGGAUUGCAUAUUUGUCGAAGAUUAGAGAUAGAAUCAAAACUAAAGUAGUUCAUAUAUUACUGUAGUAGCCAGUGGCUAGACCUUUCCAUCAGAUGAAGGGACGUUUCUAUGAGCUUCCAAAGCAUUGGAAGAAGAGUUCUUUGCCGAGUUCGUGCCUUUGGAGGGAGACGACGAAGGAGUUGGUAGCUUCUUCGGCAGCAUCUGAUUCCAAUUAGGCAACCUUGAUGCUUCCGAGAGAACAAUGAAGGAAACAACAAGAGUGAAGAGCAAGCACUUGUGCCUCCAAGAAGUUGACAUUUUGUUGAGAAGUUCGAACAGUAACAUGAAAACUGACAGGCCUGCUGCUUUAACUUGCAAAGAUGGCAGCUGCAGCUUUAGAAGUACUGGUGGCAGCAGACAUGUUGAGUAAUGUAUGGAGACCGCCAACUUGUGUUGCUUGAGGAAAGUGUGGCAAUGGCAGACAAUGGAGUAUUUGAUUAUUCUAAAAUCUGCGUGAAGCAGCUCAUGUUGUUGCUCUCUUUGUGCAGAAUCUGUUCGAGUGAAAAAAGUAGGGUUUAGGGCUGUUUUUUAUAAUAUCAUUGGACCCUCCUUUGUUGGGUAUAAAAUUUAAUUUUUCCAUGCCUGGUAACAAAUUCUUGUUUUCAGGGUUGUUCAUAGUGGUAUAAUUAGUAAUGCCACUUGUACAAGUUGUGACCUAACUAUAAAACAAUUUCACCAAACUUUGUAGAUUUCCAUUAAUUUUGUUGUUGUUGUGAAAUAUGUAUUGACAGUUAAUGUAUCAUCAAACCAAUUAAAUUCAAUGAGGUAUGCAUCAUUCAUGAAAAAUAAAAAAAUAAAAAAACAUAUGGUUGAGAAAACCCAACCUGAAAUUAUAGCACUAUUACUAUUAUUGUUAGGAUUGAAUUUCAAUCAUGCAAACAUGAGGGGAGAGUUUCCUUUUCCAUUGUUUGAGAUUACUCACAGCAAAACAAACAAGCCUAGCUAUUUAAAAGUUGACGAGAAGAUUUCUAAAGGAGUUCAAAGGAAGCAUCUUGACGCUUUUUGUAUGCUAUUUUGCCAACAAAAGAAAUAGUUUUACAACAAAAAGGUAAUGGCUAUCAGUGGUGUCAGUGAGAUUUUAGUAUAUUUUUAUGAUAAGAGUUGUGAUUAGAGCACCACAAUUUCCUAGUUAGAGGUGCAUCCCUUAGUCGAAAAGUGAAUUCAUUUCGACAAGCAACAGAAAACUUAAAAGUUGAUCAAACUUGAGUCAAAAGCUAUAAGUUGUGGCUGAUUAGGAAUACAAUUUAGUAGUGUUCUUCAUUAUUUGUAAGUGAAAGUUUUUAAUUCGAUUAUAUGAAUGACGGGUUCGAUAUCACAUUAUUAUCAAGAAGAAAAAUAAGUCCUGAUUUUGUUACAAAGCAUUACAAACUUCCAUCUCGAUAUUAUUAGAUUAUACUUUUAUUAAAUUAUGAAUUAUACUAGAUUAGCUCAUCGGUUCAUGUUACAACGAUGCAAUCGAGAAUAUAACAUAACCAGACCCUUUAUGCAAAAGGAUUCCCAAUUUUUUUUCAAAAAAUAGGGAUUAGGUGUGGAGCCCACUCCACAUUGAAUUUCAACGAUCCGAACAGUCUAUUUUUUAAGUCUCGAUUCAUAGAUCAUCCUUACAAAAAUUUAAUUCAAUCCGAAACUAUUUUCCUAUUUAAUGAUCAGAAUAAAAUUUCAUUGUUUCUUAUACAACAAAGUAUUCGUUAAUUUCUUUGAACUUAAUUAGAUGUCUAAAACAUUUCCGAUUUGGCUAAUAUUUUACAAGGAUGAUCUAUGAGAUGCAACUUGAAAAAUAAACAAUUCGGAUUGUUAAAGUUUGAUGUGGUGUGGACCCCACAACUAAUGUCCAUUUUUAUAAAAAUAUGAGGAUCCCUUCACUUAAAGGUUUCUCCUAACAUAACAAUUCAAUAUUUGCAAUGAAUAGAUAUUUCAAAACAUACACUUGUAAAUGGCAGCCGUCAACAAUUAUCCACAGUGCUAGUCUGUCAUUCUGCAGUCUAUGAUUAGGAUCGAAUAACAUUGUCCUAGUGAUAUUCUAACAAACUUUCUGAGCAUUCGAUAUAGCUAGGUCCGGCACAGAGAAGAGAAGGUAUUGCCGAUAUAAAAGAAAUUUUCAGCGCAUGUGUGUCUGAGAAUUAUAAGAUCGUAAAAGGUGGAAGAAUGUCGGGUGAAAGAUUAUCUUUAAAUUUAUGCAGGCUCAUUUGGGACAAGAGGAGUUGGAAGGAGAUGGAGACUGCACUCUAUCUCAAAGUGGUAGGGUCAGUGUUAGACAAGAGUCAAUGGUACAACGUAAUUAGUGAUUAUCCUAGACUAUUCUCUUUGUAAUUUACCACGUAUAGGACUCUUGUUGAUCAUGUACUAUAAAACUGGUAUACGUUCAUGAAUGAAAGCAAGCAAAUUCCAACUAUUUCUCUACCUGUUAAACUCUCUCUCUCACUCUCUCCCACGUUUGUACUUUUUUACAGUCAGUCCCACUCAAAAAAAUACUGAACUAUGUCUAAUUGAGUGCAGAAGAGAAACAGCUGGUCUCGUCAUUUUGGCUACCCCAUGUUUACUUUUGUAAGAAUUAAACUGAAAUGCUGGAAGUGAUGAUUUCUAAUUCAUUGAAACUAAAACAUAUACAAAGUUGGCACUUGGCAGCCAUAUUGGCUUGCAGCCCAAGUAUUGGAGAUGGAUUUGCAUGGUAUGGCCCAGGGUUGGGCAAACGGGUUCUGAACCUGCGGGUUGGGGCGGGUAGUUACAAUUCGGGACGGGUACAGGGCGGGUACAUAUAUUGUAAAUUCAAAACGGGGCAGGGUAGGGUGGGUACAAAUUUCAAAGGAAACGAGCCCCUGACCCGAACCGUUCAUUAUAGGGAGAAUAAAUCUCGACCGUUUAUUUCUUAGGUUAUGUGGAUUCUGGACUCCAUCCUCUCUCCAAAGUUCAUACUCUGUAUUCUGGACUCCUGUUAACUCCAUCCUCUCUUCAACUCCGUAUUCGCUCUUCUCACCGUCGUCCCGACCACCACCACAACACCACCCUUCUCUCCUCCUUGAUGAUAUCCCAAAGCACUCAGGUCCUAGAACCACGAAGGCACAACCCAUCCCAAUUCUCUCCUCCUCGUCGACACCACCCAUCUCGAUUCCUAGACGACAACAUUGUCUUCGCGAUCAUCAUCACCCCACCACCGUCGUCGCCUGCUAUAAUUUUGGUAAUUUUGAAUUAGGCAUUUGUUAUUUAUGUGAAUUUUUGGUUUAGGGAUUUAGGGUUUGUGAAUCAGGAAUGGUAUAGAUUUUAUUCUGGGUUCUAAAUUUCUGGUUAGGGAAUACAAGUUUUGUAGCGGUCACAAGGAAGGUUGUGGGGAUGGAAUUGUAUUCAUUUGAUAUAUGUGUAUGUUCUUUAAUUUUGUUUUCAUUGUUUGGUGCAGAAUCUUUAAUUUUGCUUCCAAUUUUCAAAAAACCCAAAUUGGUUUUGAUUUGGGUUUCCUGAUGGUUUUAUCUCAUGAGAGACAUGAGUUUGGCCUUGGAAAGGAUCUUGAAGAUGGCAUUAAUGGUGGCACAGGUGUGGUGGAAGCCGGGCUGGCGGUCGAUCCAAUCGAAGAACUUGAGGCAGGAGAGGACAUCAUGAUCGUUGCUGCUGUACCGUAGGACUCGUGGGGACCCGUAGGAACUGGCUCAUUUCAAAAGAGCCGGGUUAGGUUCGGAUCUCAUUUUGAAAAAUCCAAAACCCACCCCGCCCCACCCCACCUCGUGUCAUUUACAAAUGGGUUCGGUUCGAUUCCUUCAAUUUUGGGCCCAGCCCGGCCCGUGCCCACCCCUAGUAUGGCCCGUAUAGGUACACUUUCACUGUGUCAAUGAUACAAUACAUUAAUAAGUUUCUCUUCAAUUGACGUUGUUUUAUUGACACGAGACACAUGCAAUCAAGUUGCUCUCCAAGUCUAGGGACUCGAGAUUACAUAAUAUCAGCCUAGCACUGCCUAGGUCCCGCUUAGGCACUAGGAGGUUGAUCACCGCCUCGAUUAAUCCCAAGGCAUUUAGAAAUUAAGAAAGGGCGUCUAGACCACCUGUCUAGAUUGUGACUCUCAUUUAGAUAAAAAAUACAUAACUUUUCAUUUUUGCAUUUUUAUUUUUUAAUAAAUUAUAAGAGAAAUACUUAGAUGAACACACAUUAUAGGUUUGUUUCCCAAAGAAAUUAUGUAUUUUUUGAGUUUAAGCAGACAUUUAUUUAUACGAUAUACAAUCAAUUUACUUAAAUCCACCUAGACCCCGCUUAGUUACCUAGGCGCUAGGCUCUAGCUCGUCGCUCGAGUAGUGCCUACUAGGGGUGGGCACGGGUCGGUCCCAAAUUUGAAGGAACCGAACUGGACCUGUUUUAAAAUGAAACGGGACGGGUUGGUUCGAGUCGGGUCAACGGGUCCAAUUAAUUAAUAUUUUUUUUCUUCAGACAUUCAGGAAUUAGCACAGAAGCAACAUCCUCUUUGUAAAACCUUGACGAGCACAACAACAACAAUAACUCGAUUUCUCGUUCGAUCUCAAGCAUAAUAAUAGUCUAAUUAAGUUUUCAAAAAUAAACUAAUCACAAACCCACCUCACCUGACUUACAAUGAGAAUCAAAUGAGUCAGCUAAAACAAGACUGGACUUUUCCAGCAAUACUCAAAGGCUGUGUUUGUUUCCCUUCACUAGCCCUUAUUGGACUGGACUAGAGUAAUAGUUAGUCCAGUCCCAUGUUUGUUACUUCACGGGACUAGCUUUAGUGGGAGUAAGCCGGACUCGCCUCGACUAAGAAUCGUGCUAGAUGGUCUUAGCGAGAGACAUCGAGAACCAUGGGACUAGCUAAUCCCUUCGUCGCCCUCUGCUCGGGUCCCCUACUCUCCUCUCUGCUCGCGUUCUCUCCUUCUUUUUUCAUCCCCAACCUUGAAUCAUGAACAAAGACCUUGAUUCGAACUUCAAUCAGAGAACUCAGGAGCUCCGUCGGUCGCGCCCUGCUCAUACCAAACUCAUCGGUCGUGCCCUCCGAUUGGCCUCUUUCCUCCUAGACCUCAAUUUUCGACGACAAGGACUUCAGACUCCAUCCUCCUUGACCUCUUCCAUUGCUACAUCUGCUCUGUUUUGCCCCUCACAUCUCCUUCCUCCCUACUUCCCACAACCAGAAAAUCCAGAAAAAUUGAACCCAGUCAAGAGAAAGGGGAAAGAGACAGUGGCACAAAUGAAAUGGCAGAGAAAAAUGAGAGGGGAGGGAUGCAGUGGGCGAACAAAAAAAAUGAGAGAGGGAGGUGAAAUGGCAGAGAAAGAAGAGAGGGGAAGGUUGCAGUAGGCGGACAAAAAAAUGAGAGGAAGAUGAAAUGGCAGGGAAAGAUGAGAGGAUGUAAUAGGCGGACACAAAAUUGAGAGAUUCUAGAAGGGAAAAUGAUAAUUUAAUAAUAAAAUAUUGGGUAAAGUACAAAAAACUACCUCAACUAUUGGUGUCACGACACUUUCAUACCUCAUCUUUUAAAAUUGACAAUGUCAUACCUUAUUUUACAAAUUUGUGCCAAUGUCAGACAUUCAUCAGUUUUUCUGUUACUUUUUCUGUUAAAUGCUGACUUGGCCAGAGAGAGAACCCACUCACUAAUCCAACUGGAUUAAAAAAUAAUAAAAAAUAUAUUUUAAUAAUUAAAUAUUCAAAAAUUUAAAAAAAAAAUUAAAAAACUAAAAAAAAUAAAAAAAUGGCCUAAGGGAUCUAGCCUUCCCUUCCACCUGUAGCAUCAAUCAUUUCCUCCACCCAUAGCACCAACCAUUUCCUCCACCCGCACCAACCUUCUUCUUCUCUUCGACAGCCAUCAAAACCCAGAAAACUUCCUCCACCCGUCCCUCUAACCUUCCCCAAUCCACCCCCAUCCCUCACCUCUUCCUAUCCCUUUCGAACCCAAACCCUAAACUGGAGCAACAGAAUCCAGAGCCUUCUUUCUGGCCCACAAAACUCUGGUAAAGACCGCCGACGUCGUGAUGCGGUUGCAGAAGACGAGGAAAAGCGAGUACUUGAAAAACACCUUGUCGUCGUCGUACGGCACUCUCAUGAUCUUCUCCUGCAAGAAAUCAAAGCAAAAUAUUCAACAUUUCCGCCGCGAAAACGAACAUCGAUUCGAAGAAUUAGAUAACUGUGAGGGAAUUAGGUGACCUGGAGAACGCCGUAGGUGACGAGCAUGGUCAUGAUUCCGGCCACUGCAAAAACCCAUUUCCACAGCUUGCUCGGCUGCGGAGCGCCCGACAACAGCGUCGUUUCGACCAUAGCACGAUCGCGAAGAGUGUAGCUGAUGGAGCUCGCCUGGGAACUUGUGACAAUACGGUGCCGAGGGUUAGGGUUAAGGUUAUGUGAAAGAAUCAGAGCGAUGGGGUCAAGGGCUUCUGUUUAAAAUUUGGGAAUUAGGGUUAGGUUUGGGUUCGAAAUGGAAGGGAAGAGGUAGGGGAAGGGAAGAGGUAGGGGAAAGGAAUAGAUGGGGGAUGGGGUAGGUUAGUGGGUUAGGGAAGGUUAGGGGGACAGGUGGAGGAAGGUUUCUGGGUUUUGGUGGAUGUCGAAGAGAAGAAGAAGAUUGGUGCGGGUGGAGGAAAGGGUUGGUGCUGCGGGUGGAAAGGAAGGCUGGAUCCCUUAGGCCUUUUUUUUUUUAAUUUUUUAAUUUUUAAUUUUUUUUUUAAUUUUUGAAUAUUUUAUUAUUAAAAAAAUAUAUAUAUUUUUUUUAAUCUAGUUGGAUUAGUGAGUGGAUCCUCUCUGGCCACGUCAGCAUUUAAUAGAAAAACUGACGGAGGUCUGACAUUGGCACAAAUUUGUAAGAUGAGGUAUGACAUUGUCAAUUUUAAAAGAUGAGGUAUGAAAGUGAUGUGACACCAAUAGUUGAGGUAGUUUUUUGUACUUUACCCAAAUAUUUUAUUAUAAAAGCCUUACAAAACUUAUAGAGCAUUGUUGUAAUCCAUCUGUCGUUCUUAAUCGAAGAUUCGAACACACAUUAUACAUUAAUUGGUAAUUAUUCAUCCCAGUUUGCUGCUGAGCCUGCAAGUAUAAAAACCCAGAUCCCAAACCAUAGUGCGAAAUUAAAUUAAUCCCCAAAAUGGAACACAAUAACUCAAAAUCCCUAAAUCUAGAAAGAAAAAACCUAAUUCCGUAAAUCCCUAAAGGCUAAAAUUAAAUACCUUUUGUUUGAAUAUUUGGCUUCGAGAUGGACUCAGGAGUUAGGGGACUCAAGACCGUGAGGUGGUGGUUGAAGUUGAGAGGAGAGGAUGGUGGUGGCCGGAGACUCGGAGUCAACUUCUGAGAAGCUGCGGGAUCUCAACUAUCACGAUUUGAGUGGGAGUCAGUCUGGACUCUUGAAGAGAGAGAUCGCGAGGGAGGAGAGUGAGAAUUGACGAUAGAGAUACUAGAGGGAAGACUGAGGAGAGAAGAUUUAUCAUUCAAUCUGGGAGUCGGUCUUUGCAAAAGUGAACAAUAGAAAAUUCGCCCUAGACUGAUAUCGUACAUCCGUGUGUGAGAUUUGAACGACAUAGAUGUAAUCUCCACCAAAAGGCACUAGAUACGGUUUAGGCCGGGGCCCAUGUCUUCAGGAAAUAGGAACCGCCCUACCCCGUCCCGUUGUGAUAUAAAAAAAUAUGGACCUGCCUUGAACUGCUAGUACCCACCCCUACCCACGGGUCCAAGACUUGUUUGCCAACCACCCUUAGCGCCUACUGUCUUUUAGAACGUUGCUUAAUAUGCUAAGCUUAGAGUACACAACAAGCCUUUAAGCUAAUAUCUUCCAAAUACUCGAUGGUAGGGAAUGAGUGAUCAUGCAUUUCUUAAUCGUUUGACUAAGUUGGUUUUACAAUUUCAGCAACCCUUCCAUAUUCUGUUUAGAAGUUGAAUUACUUAAAAACAAAACUUAUUAAUACCGGUCCUUACCAAAAUGGUAAGAGAAUGAGGAGUUUCUCCUCUACUUUCAACAUGCCUUGAAUUUAGAGAGUGAUUCAUUCCAAUCCAAUCCAAUUAAUUUUCUAUACCGAAUUACAACAUUUCUUUUAACUAAACUGACGUUAAAAAUAGAUGAUAUACGUUAUUUUGAACAUAUACCGUAUCCAUAAUAAAUACCAAUUUCAGUAGUAGUAGUAGGAGUAGUAGUAGUAAGAAAAGAGCAGUCACAUGUCAAAGACUACAAUAAUGCGUUCGAG